ACUUUAUUUGAUUUCCUUCGGGACUGAUUAUUUUGUGACUGAGUGGCGGACGGGUGAGUAACGCGUGGGUAACCUGCCUUGUACAGGGGGAUAACAGUUGGAAACGGCUGCUAAUACCGCAUAAGCGCACGGCAUCGCAUGAUGCAGUGUGAAAAACUCCGGUGGUAUAAGAUGGACCCGCGUUGGAUUAGCUAGUUGGUGAGGUAACGGCCCACCAAGGCGACGAUCCAUAGCCGACCUGAGAGGGUGACCGGCCACAUUGGGACUGAGACACGGCCCAAACUCCUACGGGAGGCAGCAGUGGGGAAUAUUGCACAAUGGGCGAAAGCCUGAUGCAGCGACGCCGCGUGAGCGAAGAAGUAUUUCGGUAUGUAAAGCUCUAUCAGCAGGGAAGAUAAUGACGGUACCUGACUAAGAAGCACCGGCUAAAUACGUGCCAGCAGCCGCGGUAAUACGUAUGGUGCAAGCGUUAUCCGGAUUUACUGGGUGUAAAGGGAGCGCAGGCGGUGCGGCAAGUCUGAUGUGAAAGCCCGGGGCUCAACCCCGGUACUGCAUUGGAAACUGUCGUACUAGAGUGUCGGAGGGGUAAGCGGAAUUCCUAGUGUAGCGGUGAAAUGCGUAGAUAUUAGGAGGAACACCAGUGGCGAAGGCGGCUUACUGGACGAUAACUGACGCUGAG
rnacentral:rRNA from 1 species